CUCCAACACACUCCCUGGUGAAAUAUUGGAGCCAGUGGUUUCCAGCCCUGGCUGUGUGCUAGAAUCACCUUCCCCACGGAAACCCAAAGGACUCUACAGGAACAUGUGGCUGCUUGUCAGCCUUUGCCAGGAGUGGUUAGUGAAUUCCCACUCUGCCUGAAGACGUGAAUUCUACAAUGAAGUUGUUCAACAAUGACUGUCUUACACUGGAGAGGUGGAGAAUCUAGUAGCUGCUUGGUCCAUGGGCUGGAUGUCUCAGGAGUCUCAGUCUGGCACUGAAGGCCUGCAAGAUUCCCAGAGAGCUGCUCAUCUGUAUUGGAAGCUUGAGGAAGCUCAUUCUAAUAUCAUCAAAGGAGUGCCACAGCAGCAGAAUCUUUGGAGAAAAGCACACUUCCAUGUCCUUUCAUCGGUGCUGCCACAGGAGUGUGCUGUCCACAUUUGGGCUGGGUCUUUCCACUUCAAAUAGUCUGAUCAAGAAAAUCCCUCACAGAAUCUUGCAGCCUUGUGAGCUACUGAAGAAAAGAAAUUGAUAUCUCAUAGUUCUGAGCCUGGGAAUCCAAGGUCAAGGUGCUGGCAUCAGGUCACAAGGCAGACAUGUGAUUCAGGGUUGGCCAACUAUGACACCCCAUUUAUUGCAAAACGUUGUGAUGGAGGGAACUCACCAGCAUCAGAACUCAUCUGUGGUUGAUGGGAAGGCCCAACUUUGGUGGCCACAGAGCCUGUGGAAGAAUGGAGAGCUGAGAAGAAAACCCCAGGACCAGAGACAGAAUCGGGGGAGUGGCAAAGUGAGCAGAAGAACAAGCAACUUGCUAGCCUGGUGGGAGGUUCAGAUGACUGUUGCUGCCCACAAAGAGGACUCCAUAGCUUUCCAUCAUCUCACUUCAGAAGGGACAUAAAGUCUUAGGCUUCCAGGACUGUAAGUUUACUUGCUAAGCAACCUGUCUCGGGCAUCUCAUUACUGUAACAGAAAACUUA